GCUGCGAUGGCCGAGUGGUUAAGGCGUUGGACUCGAAAUCCAAUGGAUAUUCCCGCGCAGGUUCGAAUCCUGUUCGCAGCG
rfam:Ciona savignyi cont_18399, whole genome shotgun sequence.